GGACCUUUCCCUAGUACGAGAGGACCGGGAAGGACGCACCUCUGGUGUACCAGUUAUCGUGCCCACGGUAAACGCUGGGUAGCCAACUGCGAAGUGGAUAACUGCUGAAAGCAUCUAAGUGCUCUCCUAUUC
rnacentral:ncRNA from 1 species